rnacentral:rRNA from 1 species
CAUCGAUGAAGAACGCAGCGAAUGCGAUAAGUAAUGUGAAUUGCAGAAUUCAGUGAAUCAUCGAAUCUUUGAACGCAUCUUGCGCUCCUUGGUAUUCCGAGGAGAUGCCUGUUUGACUGUCAU